rnacentral:sRNA from 1 species
AAUGCGCACAUCAUGGACGAGAGUGGGCGCGCAAGGCACAGGCACAGGCAUAGGCACAGGCACGGGCACAGGCACAGGCGAGCGACCCUCGCCACGACCCAGUCGGCGGGCGGGCGCACGGAACAGGUUGCCUUGCGGCAGGGUGGGAUGGAUGUGGUGUCGUCGUCAUCGUCUUCAUCGCCUUCAUCGUCUUCGAUUGUGGACUGACAACAGAGGAAGUGAUAGAUAUCGUAGCAUGUGAAUCCCAAAGUGCGUGCCCCUGAUUGGGCCAAGGCCCAAGGCCCAAGGCCCUCAGGUCUCUGCCAUUAGCUACUCGACAUGUUUACUUACCAGAGACAGACUGCUUCAAGCAUUCACCUUUGGCCAAGCCGCUGCCAAAGUGCCAAACGUCUCUGUAUAACGGCGGCGCUGUAUAACGCUUCGACCUCCCUCGUGUAUGUGGAAGCAUUACAAGUGACCCGUCAGCGUGGACUUUGCUACCCGGCACCUCGGCCCGGCCCCCGCCCCCUUCACUUCUGGCCCGAAGAAGACAGUUCAUUUUCAGGAUGCUUUAAGGACACGGACUGCUUGCAUUUCGUACAGGGCAUCAAAGAGGACGUCGUCGACAGCCCGCAAGGGAUACAGUUGUUAACGUAUACAAGGGGGAGGCGUCGACUAUGGCGAGGACGAAAACACAAACAUGGCAACCGAGCACCGAGCACCGAGCACCGGGAAGGGUCCGCCUCUGCCUGCUCUCGGCUGCAGUUGAAGGAAUGGAAUGGAAACGAAACGAAAGGAAAGGAGCACUUUAUGUGCAUAUAAUAUCUGAAUGUUCGCCGCACCAUCCUCAACCACACACACACACGUACGAUCCACCCAGCCAGACAGACACAUGUAUACGUAGGACACAGUGUCAUCCAAGUUGCGGGGAAUUGUUAAUAUUGUCUGUGCGCCUGUAAGCAGCAUUUACAUGCUGGCCGACACCACGUACCACGUCCUGGCUGAUAGAAGAGCUCAUGUGUGGCUGGUGCCCUCUCUGACGGAACGGAAGGGCUCUGCUAGCCGCUCGGCUUUAAAUGCUGUACGAGUAUCAACUUAUGAAGCUGGCCGCCGCUUUCAUUAGAUCCAGAGGAUGAACCUAGUUCAGAACUUGUCUGGAUUGAAAACUGACACGCCAUCAAUAAAAUAAUGUUCUCGGAUCGAUAUGAGCAUCUGGAACAGAAGACGGAUGGAUGGAUGGACGGAUGGAUCGAAAAUUAACUAUAUGGGAAAAAUAAUAUUUUAAGAAACAUUAUUGAAUAUUUAUAAUAACUCUAGUAUCAAUGGUGUAUACGAGUAUGCAUUAGACAUGAAAAGAGUAAACACCAUAUUUUCUUGUAGGUUUAUGCUUCAUGAGUCAACAGUAUUCAUAAAAACACAGCUACACUCAUACAUCUUUAAAGCUUUCGAUCAUUACGAAUCCUUUCUUCAGUCAGAUCCGGAUCACCCCGAACCGAGUGCGAGCACUACGGAUACUCAUGCAACAUACUCAAUGUAAAGUGAACUUUUCGGAUCUGCCACAGUAAAAAUGACGAUACCUGCUUCGGGCAGUCCGUUUUGGUCGUGCGAUUCGAUAUAAUGAGAAAUUUGAGUCGCUGAUUUGAACUGACCGAACGUAGCGAGUACCGAGUCAAUCCCACCGACUCGACUCGGUUGCGUUUUCAUGCGGGGCUCUCUGUACAUGUGAAGGCUCUGCACUAUUGAGCAGGAGACCUCAACAUUUUGAGGAACAGGGUUCUUUGGUUCUACCAUAUCAACUGGCCGGUCCAAAGAUCCAAAGAUAUAUGUAUGUAUGCCAGGUCAAAGUGCAACAAGGCCUUACAAUAAUAAUAAUAAUAAUAAUAAUAAUACAAAUGUACAUAUGUAGUGUAGUAUGUAGUGUACUCUUAAGUGGAAUCUCGAAGAUUCUGGUGCAUUUUAAAGAUUGUAACUUAUUAAAGUUUUUAAUAUUUCUGUUGUUGUGGGGGGCUGGGCUAUUAUUUGCGCUGAGAAUUCUCAGACAGACCAGCUAACAGCCUAUCCAUGCACCAUUCGCUGUUGACCAAAAAACGUUUUUGUCAGAGAUGUAUAGGUAUCACCAGAUAUCUGUUUUUCAAUCUCCCGAUACUGUCAUUUUCAUUCCACGAGCUUCCUUGAGUAUCGCAAUUUCUUCUACCUUUAAUUAUACGUCAAUAACAAAAAAAAAGAAAACGGAACACUUAUAGUAAUGCAUGUCACAGUAUCAAGGUAUCUUACUAUCUACCGUCCACUGUAAUCAAAACUAGAAUCAGCAGAAGACCUAACUCGUUCGAUUAAGUUCAUCUUGUUGAGAAGUUUAACUGAUAAGUAAUUAUGCAGUAGUACUUGUGAUUAUCAAAUCAAUGAAGAGAUUCAAAUGGAGAAGUAAUAUUUGGACGUUGAUAUGCAAUAACUGCACCACCAAGUGGGCCAUGAGACACCAAGCCAAGGCCUGUUACGUGCGGAUCACAGGCAGAGACGCAGCCCUGCGCCUGCCCAGCCGACCGGGGGCCCUGCCGCAGGAUCGCUUACAUGCAGGAAAGAUAGAUGUUAGGCUAAUAUUCGAGUAAUAUUAGAACUAAACUGACUAAAGGAGAUAAGCAUGCAUUUAAAAUGGAAAACUAAUACUGGUAUGCUAGUAUCAGUAAUUUAAGAAGAAGAAGGGAAUUAAUAGUAUAUUUAAUAUACCAAGCGAAAGGGACAACGUUGUAUACAUAGUUUCUAGUGGAUAUUAUAGUAAUCGUGAAGUUUAUGCGGACCAAUAAGACGAUUAAUUAAGAAUGCAGGAUUAUUGAGAGCAAUCCAUUCUGAUAAGAUGGCAAUCCGUCACUUGCAUCCCAGUUAAGGCCGCGCAGGUCAAAUAGUUUUUUUUUUUUUGGUUUUGACCGCUCUUACAUGUAUUGGAUGAGUUUUAUAGUUACUAAGAAUUAUUCUAAACUAAUGCGUAAUUCGCCACAAUCAAUGACAUAACAAAUUUCCUAUAAUAACAAUGCGAGUAUGAUGUCGGUCACAUUUGGCCAAGAUAUAGUCUAA